AAAACAUAGCCUUAAGAUAAAAUUUAAGGUAAGCCCUGCCCAGUGGAAAUUCUAAACGGCCGCAGUACCUUGACUGUGCUAAGGUAGCGUAAUCAGUUGGCUUUUAAAUGAAGUCGAGAAUGAACGGGGCCAUGUGAAAAAACUGUCUCUUUUUUAAUUUAAUGAAUUUGCUAAAUAGGUGAAAAUACCUUUUUAAAGAAAAUAGACGAGAAGACCCUUAGAGCCUUUACAAUAAUUUAUCAAAUUGUUUUUGUUGGGGCGACAAGAAGACAUAUAACUCUUUUGUAUUACUAAACGAUUAUAAUACAUAUGAAUAGGCUACCUUAGGGAUAACAGCAUAAUUACUUAUAGUUUGUGACCUCGAUGUUGGACUAGGAACUUGAUGACUAGUCGUCAAUAAAGGAAGUUCUGUUCGAACUCUUAAAUUCCUACGUGAUCUGAGUUCAGACCGG
rnacentral:rRNA from 1 species